rnacentral:rRNA from 1 species
AGGCCCAACGGGAUUGCCUCAGUAGCGGCGAGUGAAGCGGCAAGAGCUCAGAUUUGAAAUCGUGCUUUGCGGCACGAGUUGUAGAUUGCAGGUUGGAGUCUGUGUGGAAGGCGGUGUCCAAGUCCCUUGGAACAGGGCGCCCAGGAGGGUGAGAGCCCCGUGGGAUGCCGGCGGAAGCAGUGAGGCCCUUCUGACGAGUCGAGUUGUUUGGGAAU